rnacentral:tRNA from 1 species
ACACUGGUGAUUUAGUGGUAGAAUUCUUGCCUUCCAUGCGGGAGACCUGGGUUCAAAUCUUGGCCAAGGCA